ACCACAAGAACGCGUGGAGCAUGUGGCUUAAUUUGACUCAACGCGGGAAAUCUUACCGGGUCCGGACACACUGAGGAUUGACAGGUAUUAUAUAGCACGCACUUCGGUGUGUGUCUAUUGUUAAAUAUGCUAGUCCUUUCAUGAUUAUGUGAUAGGUGGUGCAUGGCCGUUCUUAGUUCGUGGAGUGAUCUGUCUGCUUAAUUGCGUUUCAGAUAAGGAUCUAUAUUCUUUACAGUGCUGCAGUCGUAAUUGACCCCUUUCUCACGAGAGUGUGUGUCUUUUUGCGCUCACACUUUACAUUAGGUCCUGAAAGCAACGAACGUGACCGCAACCUCUUGUUGCCUCAUCUCCCCAUCACUAGGUAGCUUCGGCUACUUAACGUAUCAUUGAGGCUUUCCAAAACUAGAGGGACCGCUGUCAACUUCUUAAACCAGAGGAAGGUUGCGGCAAUAACAGGUCU
rnacentral:rRNA from 1 species